rnacentral:sRNA from 1 species
UAAACUCCAUUUAAUAAGCAAGCUGUAGC